GGAGGAUUCGCCUAGUGGCCUAGGGCGCACGCUUGGAAAGCGUGUUGGUGGCAACGCCUCACGAGUUCGAAUCUCGUAUCCUCCG
rnacentral:tRNA from 1 species